AGGUUAAGCUACUAAGAGCGUAGGGGGAAUGCCUUGGCACCAAGAGCCGAUGAAGGACGUGAUAAGCUGCGAAAAGCUACGGGGAGGAGCACAUAUCCAAAGAGCCGUAGAUAUCCGAAUGAGGGAACUCAAUCUAGGUAAAUGCUAGAUUAUCAUCACAUGAGUAAAGUAGUGUGAUAGAGGGGAACGUGGGGAACUGAAACAUCUUAGUACCCAUAGGAAGAGAAAAUAAAAAUGAUUCCGUAAGUAGUGGCGAGCGAAAGCGGAGGAGCCCACACCUG
rnacentral:rRNA from 1 species